rnacentral:misc_RNA from 1 species
GAUUAAGAUAGUUUAGUCAUAUUCGACAUAAAUUAUUGAAUUUCCUAGUACAGAAGUGUGAUAAAUUAGUGAUGGAAGCAGUGAGAAGGGAAAAAGGAAGAUCUAAAAUGAUGCGAAAGGAAGUAGAAUGAUACAAUUUUUGGAUAUUUAAGCGAAAUUGAUUUCAAAUAGGGUUGAAUGGCAAAAUGGAUCCAUAUAACCGAUCUCAACUAUUUUGGGAUUAAACCUUAGUUGUUGUUGUAUUGAUCUCAACUAAGGUUGGCGCUUUGUGAUUCAAAAGUUAUGAGUUCCAGUUAUGGAAAUAGCCUCUCUCAAAAAGCAUGGGGAAGGCCACAUACAAUGGACAACCCUCCCCCUAGUCACACAUUUACACUGGUCAUGAAGAAUGAUGAGUGAUAAUUUUAUGAAAUAGCCAUAGGGUAAACCAGAA